rnacentral:rRNA from 1 species
AUUGAACGCUGGCGGCAUGCUUUACACAUGCAAGUCGAACGGUAACAGGCCGCAAGGUGCUGACGAGUGGCGAACGGGUGAGUAAUGCAUCGGAACGUGCCCAGUCGUGGGGGAUAACGCAGCGAAAGCUGCGCUAAUACCGCAUACGAUCUAUGGAUGAAAGCGGGGGACCGAAAGGCCUCGCGCGAUUGGAGCGGCCGAUGUCAGAUUAGGUAGUUGGUGGGGUAAAGGCCCACCAAGCCAACGAUCUGUAGCUGGUCUGAGAGGACGACCAGCCACACUGGGACUGAGACACGGGCCAGACUCCUACGGGAGGCAGCAGUGGGGAAUUUUGGACAAUGGGCGCAAGCCUGAUCCAGCAAUGCCGCGUGCAGGAAGAAGGCCUUCGGGUUGUAAACUGCUUUUGUACGGAACGAAACGGUUCGGGUUAAUACCCUGGGCUAAUGACGGUACCGUAAGAAUAAGCACCGGCUAACUACGUGCCAGCCGCCGCGGUAAAAC